rnacentral:rRNA from 1 species
UACGGAGGGGACUAGCGUUGUUCGGAAUUACUGGGCGUAAAGCGCACGUAGGCGGAUUUGUAAGUCAGGGGUGAAAUCCCGGGGCUCAACCUCGGAACUGCCUUUGAUACUGCAAAUCUCGAGUCCGGAAGAGGUGAGUGGAGUUCCUAGUGUAGAGGUGAAAUUCGUAGAUAUUAGGGAAGAAACACCAGUGGCGAAGGCGGCUCACUGGUCCGGUACUGACGCUGAGGUGCGAAAGCGUGGGGAGCAAACAGG